rnacentral:ncRNA from 1 species
UCAACGUCGAUGAACAAGAGGUUUCGUAACAAACCAUAGACAAAGCGAGCUGGCACAGGUGAAAGACAGCCUAUGUGAGGGUAUGAAAUGUAGCUUGGGAGACGAUAUACAGAAAAAACGAAACAUACAAGUAUGUAUAUCCGUAAUCUUGCGUUAAAAGAACGAAAGGCAUCACAGGAUGCAAAUUAAGGUGGUACCGCGAUAACAUCGUCCUUUGG